rnacentral:pre_miRNA from 1 species
GUUUUAUCGGGAGUUUCCUUCAAGCACUUCACGUAGAGCUUAAUUUCUAUUGACAUGGAGCUUUGGAACAAUGUGAAGUGUUUGGGGGAACUCUUGAUACCAA